GGGUAGAAAUGAUUAUAGGGAGAUUUGUUUGUUAUGAGAGGGGUUAUGUGAAAAUGGAUGGCACUAUGUUUGACAUAUUUCAUUUGACAUGAUGAUGAUGAUGAUGAUGCAUGGUGGCCCAUUGCCACUGAAGAACUUUAACAGUGAUCACUUUAUGCCUCUUUCUCUCUCUCUCAUUCUUUCACCAUCCCACAGCCUACACUGCCCUAU
rnacentral:lncRNA from 1 species